ensembl:rRNA nuclear encoded rRNA 5S 82
CAGUACGGCCAUACCAUCCUGAAUGUGUCUGAUCUCAGAAACUUAGCAGUGUCAGACCUGGUUAGUGCUUGGAUAGGAGACCUUCUGUGAAUGCCAGCUUCUGUAGACU